UGAGGCAGCACCCUUUGUGGGCCGGGGACAGCCGG
rnacentral:piRNA from 1 species